rnacentral:rRNA from 1 species
CCCGCUGAACUUAAGCAUAUCAAUAAGCGGAGGAAAAGAAACUAACAAGGAUUCCCCUAGUAACUGCGAGUGAAGCGGGAAAAGCUCAAAUUUGAAAUCUGGCGGCUCCGUCGCCCGAGUUGUAUUCUGGAGAAGCGUCUUCCGCGUCGGACCGUGUACAAGUGCCUUGGAACAGGACGUCAUAGAGGGUGAGAAUCCCGUCUUUGACACGGACGCCCGAUGCUCUGUGAUGCGCUCUCGAAGAGUCGAGUUGUUUGGGAAUGCAGCUCAAAACGGGUGGUAAAUUCCAUCUAAAGCUAAAUAUUGGCGAGAGACCGAUAGCGAACAAGUACCGUGAGGGAAAGAUGAAAAGCACUUUGGAAAGAGAGUAAAACAGUACGUGAAAUUGUUGAAAGGGAAACGCUUGAAGUCAGUCGCGUCUGCCGGAACUCAGCCUUGCUUCUGCUUGGUGCACUUUCCGGCCUGACGGGCCAGCAUCGGUUUCGAGCGGCGGACAAUGGCGAGGGGAAGGUGGCAGCUCCGGCUGUGUUAUAGCCCCCCCGUCGCAAACGCCACACGGGACCGAGGAAUCCGGCGCAAGCCUGGGAUGCUGGCGUAAUGGCUUUAAACGACCCGUCUUGAAACACGG